GCACUGCUGAAGAUUUCCACAAUAGAACGAAACGGCCGUCCAGUGC
rnacentral:hammerhead_ribozyme from 1 species